AGGGCACUGAGUCUUGCAGAAGAUGGUCAGUAGUUCUUGAACACUUUUAUCUUUUCUGAAGAUUGAUGUCCAUAUUAAUCUGCACAGAAGGGCUCCGUGGUCUCAUUAGAGAUCAGCUGUAUAAUUUACCAAGUGUUAACGGGGUAAGUUCUCCCUUGUGAAGGAACCUUAAGUGUAAUGAGUCAGAGCUCCUGCCUGCAGGGGUUAGUUAGGAAAGUGGGUGGUGUGUCAGAGAAGUAAGACAAAAUUUUCACUGUUUUAGUCUAGUAAGAGUGGUUGGCAAUUUGGUGCAGAGCCCAGCGCUUCUUUUCGUAGCUAUAGGCAAUUCAAAGGAUAUUAAGUUGUGCUGCCACACUGGUUGUAUAAGUCAGUUUGAAAGCUAAUAUUUAGCAAUCCAGAGAGGAAAUUUUUUCUUCUGUUGAUCAUCAAGGCAGCAAAACGCUCUGGUAUGCAGCAGGAUCCUUGGGAACAUGUCUGGAUUCCCAAGGGAAUUGAAAAGGCAUUUGUCAUGUAGGCUUAGAAGUACAAAAGAUGUUUCUGAAAUGUGACAAAUUGAAAAGAAGGUGUUAAUACCUUUAUAAAACUCACAAAGCCUGAAAGCUAAAAUUUCAAGGUAAUUAAACUUGCUAGGGAAAGGAAGAAGAGGAGUGAAAUGACAUCUGAGUUUAACAGGAUAAAGUAGGCAACGUGUCAAGACGUAGUACUGUGCAGCGCUUCAGGUAGCGAAAUUCAGCGAGAGCCCUUACAGCUGCUGUUCAUGCUACACCUUUCACAGCCUCACCAUUUAAAACCUGGGUUUCUGCUGCCAGUAGAGAUUGCAAAGCUUGUGGGAAUCCAGAGACAUGCUAACGGGGGCUGUCGUGAAAUGCCCUGCCCUGUAACUACUGCUUACACCAGAUGUCUGUAACCUGGUGUGACAACAAGGCUUGGAGUGUAAAUCCAGUUCUUGGUUGUUUUGUUUGUGUGCAGUGUCGUGCUGUUCAGUUCUUUAUUUAACUCUGCUUGUCCUGGACUGUCAUUGGACAUUGGCAUUUAAAAUAUAACUUAGUGCAGUGAAUGCUCCAUGCAGGUGAGAUGGGCAAAGGGCACUGUGCUUCUGACCACCUAAGUAGUGAAGGUCACAGCACUGCUGUAAACGUGGCUAGGAAGUGAUCAAAAUGGCAAACCCAAGAGCUGGUGUUGCCUCCCGUUAUUAAGAAGUGCUCGACAUCACUUCUGUUCCAACUGGCAGUUUCCAGGAACGGUAUAAUACACAGAAAUACAUGUCAGGAAGUUUCCGUUAGGAGCUAUCAGGAUAUUUAUCCCAUCUCUGUGAGCUACUGUUCAUUUCAAUUUUAAACGGGUCAACAUAUUGGACAAUUUUAAAUGGGUCAACAUUAGGACUUUCUUUAGACAUUAAGAAGAAGAGGAGAGGAGCAGAGGUGACAGAAGGCUGCAAUGCAAUACAACUUUCUUACACCGUUUAAGGAGUUUCAGUUCCAAUACUUGAGGGAUAUCACUUGUUAUAGUAGCUUUCCUGUGUUACUAUUUAAAUCCAAAGGUGUUGAAAAUCUGUUUCAGCCUUUCUACUAGAGCCAACCUUUUUUUGUGUGUAAUUGCCACAUUGUUGAAAGAAUUACUUCUUCACCUUGGUGCUCCCUCUGACUGGAGGCAGACAGCCUGUGGGACAGGGAAGAACACGGCAGACGUCGCGCUGGAAAGCUUGUGCUGAGCAGAGCUCUGUAGCUUGUCGUGGCAGCUCCUAGGACUUGCUGAACCGAUAGCAGCAGCUCACGUGGGAUGACGAUGUUUGUGCCGGUAGGACGUCGUAGGAACAUUUGACGUGAUACCAAGUAUGUGUGUCUAAUACCGCUCUCAUCUCAUAGGUGCAGAGCUGACUCAAAGGGCAUGUAAUUCUUUUUUUUAAAGGUUUAUUUUGUUUUCCGACGUGUUGUCCAAGCAUUUCAAUGGCUCACAUUCCAGUUUAUAAAUAAAUACGAUCCUUAACC